rnacentral:rRNA from 1 species
GGCGGGGUAACGGCCCACCAAGGCGACGAUCAGUAGGGGUUCUGAGAGGAAGGUCCCCCACAUUGGAACUGAGACACGGUCCAAACUCCUACGGGAGGCAGCAGUGAGGAAUAUUGGUCAAUGGACGAGAGUCUGAACCAGCCAAGUAGCGUGCAGGAUGACGGCCCUAUGGGUUGUAAACUGCUUUUAUAAGGGAAUAAAGUGAGAGUCGUGACUCUUUUUGCAUGUACCUUAUGAAUAAGGACCGGCUAAUUCCGUGCCAGCAGCCGCGGUAAUACGGAAGGUCCGGGCGUUAUCCGGAUUUAUUGGGUUUAAAGGGAGCGUAGGCCGGAGAUUAAGCGUGUUGUGAAAUGUAGACGCUCAACGUCUGCACUGCAGCGCGAACUGGUUUCCUUGAGUACGCACAAAGUGGGCGGAAUUCGUGGUGUAGCGGUGAAAUGCUUAGAUAUCACGAAGAACUCCGAUUGCGAAGGCAGCUCACUGGAGCGCAACUGACGCUGAAGCUCGAAAGUGCGGGUAUCGAACAGGAUUAGAUACCCUGGUAGUCCGCACGGUAAACGAUGGAUGCCCGCUGUUGGUCUGAAUAGGUCAGCGG